CGCUGGCCCUCAUUCUCACAAAAGGCGAACCAAUACCCUGGACGAUGCCGUUUCAAUGCCGCGGCAAACAGGCGCUGAAAAAUGGAGGGAGUUCCGGCGCCGCUUCCGACGCCGCAAUCGAAACCUUAAGAACCAGAGGAUGGUGCUUCGCGACCACGAACAAGUGGAGGCGAUGAUCCUGCUCCACUCCGCCUUGUCCGACGACAAGCGUACGGUGGUGAAUUCAGUGGAAGCCGAGCUCACCAACAUGGUCCUCAAAUCUAUCUCCGCUAGGUCCUUGCCCGACCCGCAUACGCUCCAAAUGUCCUCUCACCUCCUCGGCUCCAAGGUCCUCCAGGCAUAACUCAUGGGGAUGAUACAAUCAUGGGCAGAUUACUCUAGUCUGAUGUUAGCUCCAGGAGUAGUGGACUAUCGCCAGAAAUACUGAGGUUAGAUCAGUUGGAAGGCAGCAGAACCUUCAAUUGAAAGCAAGAGGAUAAAAAUUAUAAAAAAAUUGAGACAGAUAACAGACAGAAGGCAGAUUCCCUUGAUGAAAGAACUCAAGACAAACCGAGUAGCUCAGCAACGAAACCAACCAGCUGCACAAAAUCUUCCUCAAAAAAUGAGUCAUCGAAACCGUGAUGACAAGCAUUCAAGAGGCAGACAGUUUGGGGGAAAAGGGGAGGCAAGAGGAAGAGCCCGAUGGGAAAAGAGAAAAGCCGGGGCAAAGCCUUCAAUUGGAGGUGCCUGUACAGGUAGUAGUCGUGAUGAGGAACUUGCACGGCAGCUCCAAAAUCAAUUUGAUUUGGAUGAUUAUCAUGUACAAAAGUGUCCUCAUGAUGUGGAUGCAGAGAAUAUUAAAAUGAGCAUGUUCAGCUACCAAAAAGCUGUCUCCUUUUAUUUUUAUUUUUUUAAUUGAAGUCCAUAAACACGUGUAAGCUAUAUUUGUUGUGUUCAUUUUGUUUUACUGUGUCUGUGUGACAUCUUAACCUGAUGGUGUUUACAGAAGGACACAACAUGUAGAUGUAGCAAAUGUGUUUUGUAAGGGCCGAAGAAACUGAUCAUGGGCAGGUGUUUGCAAUUGGUUUUCAGGUAAGGGAUGUAAUUAGCACUCAUAAAGUGGGGAACAGUCAAAGUUCACCAUUUUUAGAAUAAGUGGCAAUAGCGGAACUGAGAAAUGAAAUUGUAGAGCGCAUGUAUAUUUAUCCUUCGAAAGUGUAGUUUUUGGGAACACAAUUUCAUGCACAAUUCAUAUUUUUGCUUUUCAUUUUUUUCUGUUUGUUCUGUUAAUGGUUAAGAAGACAUGAAUCAUAUGUAUGUAAAUAUUGCAUAUCGUAUAUAUACCUAGAACUUUUGACAUGUUUUAUAUGGUUUUAAAACCUGUAGCAUCACUAGUAGAAACUAAAAUCGGUGAAGGAAGCUUUUGAACUCAUCAGAGUGGAAGGGAAGUGGAGAAAAUUUCCGAGAUAUUCUAUUGAGCAAUCCAUCAUUUCUGAGUCUUGCAAAUGAGAUUUUUUUUAUCUUAACAGGAACAACCCAACUCCGCCUAUGUCUUACAUGGCCGGUCCCAAGCCCGGAUAAAGGAGGAGGGGGAGGGCGUCAGGUAGUCGACAGCCGGCACUCCAUGAUCACGUCGAAUCCUUAUGAAAAUGAACAGGAACAACCCUACAAUCUUACAGACAACUUCCUUAUAAAGUUUUGGAGAAUCCAACAGAAGACUCUUUUGAUUGCGCAAACGAGUUCAUCGACUGCAAAGGUAUUAGAAAAGGUAAUAAAUCUUUUAGUAAAUGUAGAGUCAAAAGGUAGUAGAAACCAUUGAUUGGCAUCUUGAGGCUAUCAUUGAUUUUCUUUCUAACCUUAAAAGUAAAUUCGAGUAGUA